UCUGUCCAUGGGAUUUUCCAGGCAAGAAUACUAGAAUGGAAACAUUAUCCUCAAAGGCGAAAAAUUGAAAGCAUUUCCUCUAAAAUCAGGAACAAGAAAAGGGUGCCCACUCUCACCACUACUAUUCAACAUAGUUUUGGAAGUCCUAGCCACAGCAAUCAAAGAAGAAAA